GGCGGUGCACCCAAGCCUGGAGCGUGGGCCUUCUGCCCUAGCAAAGCAGUUUGCACCAACGUUCGCUUUUCAGAUCAGCGCUAGAAAUGCCGGGGGACUUUCAUACCAAGCCCCAGGCAUUUAUGAACCCAGAAACUGUAGUUUUUAAUCACGAAAACAGAAAACCAAAGCAGUUAAGGCUAAGGACAGAAUGGAACCGGGCAGAAUCAGAACAUGGGUUCACAAUUACAGCCUAGAAAUAAGCUCUGGGGCUUUUGUACUCGUUGGACAAGAAGAAGAGUCCAGGCACCUCGAGGCCUCCUGAGGCCAGCUCAGAGAGCCAGCAGAAGUGAAGAAGGACCUUCUGGCUUCCUGAAUCCCUCCAGGAAAGUUUCUUUUUGGAAAGCCCUGUGCCAACAAAGUCUUGCUUGUAUCUUGUCUCUGUUGUUUAGUUCGAGAGUGUCUCGGCGGCAUACCUAGAUCACCGAAAGUAAACCAGGAGAGAACAAAACACGCGACAGGCGGGAACCCGGACCACUCGUACAGACGAGAUGGCAGCCAGGCCAUUGAGUCUUUCCAGCACCAUUUGUAUGAAAAUUUACCUUUAUUAAAUAUCAACAUAGAAAAUUUGAGUAGUAGAAGAAAAAAGAAAACUUGUCACUUAUAAAUCUGCUGUCCAAAGUGAUCUUGUUUACUAUUAGGAUCAUUUCCUUAUAGUUAUUUUUUAAUAUCUAUGUUCAUAAUCAGGUGUUAUCUCAUUAAUCUUAACAGUUUUAUAGGUAAAUACUGCUAUUAUUUCCAUUUUGCAGAGGAAGGAAUACAGAGAGGGUAGGAAUUCUAAUUCAGAUAUACUUGGACAGUAAGCAGUAGUGCCAGGAUUUUGAACCCAGGCAACAUAACUGCAAAGCCUCUGCACUUAGACAAUAUGCAUGCAUGUGUGAGUCAAAUUAGGGUUGUGUGGCAUAACAGUAUUGUUCUGGCCUUCCUCUCCCUAUUUACAAAUGAAUGAAUAUAUAUGAUUUAAGUGACAACAACAAUAAUAAAAUACAUAGUCUUUCUUUUUUUUCUUUUUUAAUGGCCACGUGUGUAGCACAUAUAAGUUCCUGGGCUUAGUAUUGAGUCUGAGCCACAGCUGCUACCUACACUGCAGCUGUGGCAACACUGGAUCCUUUAACUCACUCUGUCAGGCUGGGGAUCAAACCCAUGCCUCAGCACAAACUGAGUCACUCCAGCGGGAUUCUUAACCCACUGUACCACAGCAGGAAGUCCUAAAAUGCAUAGUCUUGUUCUCACCAUCCCAGCAAGAACUCGGUUAUCCUCAAAACCUUUAAAUUGAUUGUGCGUGCUCAUCCCCAUUCUGUUCCCUUACUUGACCAGCCUCAGGGUUAACUACCAUUCUGAAAGUUUCUACCAUUCCCUUGUUUUUCUUUAUUUUUCUAUAAAUAUAUGCCCAAAUAAUACUAUUCAGUUUUGGCUACUGUUUAAAUUUUUAUAAAAUAGAGUCACUGUAUUUAUCUUGGGGGGAGGGACUUGCUGGGAUUUUUUUUCACUCUAUUUUUUUGUAAUUCAUCUAUAUUAAUUUUUAUAACUACAGUUUGUUCAUUUUCAGCCGGGUAGCAUUCCAUUGUCUGAAUACAUCUUAUUUAUCCAAUUUUAGAUUGUUUCCAGUUGUUUACUAUUAGAAACAGUAUUGCAGUAAACAUUUUCUUUCACAUCUAUUGCAGCAAGUGUACAAGAGUUUCUCUAGUAGAAUUUCUGGGUGAUAGGGCAUGUGCAUCUUUAAUUUUACUUCAUAAUACUCUAUUUUACAAAGUUGUUUUGUCAGUUUAUGCUUCUACCAGCAGUAUGAGUUCUCAUCAGGGGUAUGUCUUUGCCAGUACUUAGCUAUCCAUAUUUGUAAAACUUUUGCCAAUCUGAUGUGAUGAGUUUUAAUUUGCAGUAUGGCAAGCAUCAUAUAUGUAUAUAUGUGGGGGGGGUGUGUGUGUGUCUGUGUGCGUGUAUUUUUUGGUAAAGUGACUAUUCAACUAUUUUGCCUACAUUUUUUCUUCAAAAGGGGUAUUGCCUUUUUCUUAAUGGUUUGUAAUGUUGGAUAUAGUCUAGAUACCAAUAGGUGUGG